rnacentral:rRNA from 1 species
GAUGAACGCUAGCGGCGGGCCUAAUACAUGCAAGUUGAACGGGAUUGUUGGUAGCAAUAUUGACAUGAGAGUGGCGCACGGGUGCGUAACACGUAUGUAACCUACCUUUAACUGGGGCAUAGCUUCGAGAAAUCGAAAUUAAUACCCCAUAACAUUUAGAAAAGGCAUCUUUUCUUUAUCAAAGCUCAGGCGGUUAAGGAUGGACAUGCGGUGCAUUAGCUUGUUGGUGAGGUAACGGCUCACCAAGGCUACGAUGCAUAGGGGGUCUGAGAGGAUGAUCCCCCCACACUGGUACUGAGACACGGACCAGACUCCUACGGGAGGCAGCAGUAGGGAAUAUUGGGCAAUGGACGAAAGUCUGACCCAGCCACGCCGCGUGAAGGAUGAAGGCCUUAGGGUUGUAAAGCUCUUUUACCAGGGAUGAUAAUGACAGUACCUGGAGAAUAAGCACCGGCUAACUCCGUG